rnacentral:rRNA from 1 species
CGGGGGGCUGCCGUGAGGAAUAUUGGUCAAUGGGCGAGAGCCUGAACCAGCCAAGUCGCGUGAAGGAAGACGGCCCUACGGGUUGUAAACUUCUUUUGUAGGGGGAUAAAAAAAGCCACGUGUGGUUUCUUGUAGGUACCCUACGAAUAAGGAUCGGCUAACUCCGUGCCAGCAGCCGCGGUAAUACGGAGGAUCCAAGCGUUAUCCGGAUUUAUUGGGUUUAAAGGGUGCGUAGGCGGAUUAUUAAGUCAGUGGUGAAAGGUUGACGCUUAACGUUAACAUUGCCAUUGAAACUGGUAGUCUUGAGUGCAAAUGAGGCAGGCGGAAUGUGUUGUGUAGCGGUGAAAUGCAUAGAUAUGACACAGAACACCGAUUGCGAAGGCAGCUUGCUGGAAUGUAACUGACGCUGAGGCACGAAAGCGUGGGGAUCAAACA